rnacentral:lncRNA from 1 species
AUGUUUAUUGACCAUUGGUAUUUCUCCCUUGCUCUUGACCUCUUCAUGGUCUCCAAUUUUUCCAUUAGCCUCUCAGGCCAGUUAAAUUUAACUGUGUGUUUUAAUGUUCCCCAGGCUUCAAAAGAAGAGACACAGUUCAGAAUAGCACUGACUUCCAGCUCAGUAGAAAAGCAACCUGGGGAGCCCCACACUUCCCCUUCCCACAGGGAAAUCAGAGCCUGUGUUCAUUCCUUUCCCUCUAGACUCUUUUCAGGUUUAACAAAACAACAGGAGGUAGAAGAAAUCAACAGUCAAGGACAAAAAAUGCUGAAGAAAAAAGGCAAAACCACCACAGAUCUUCAAGAAGGGAAAAUGAGUUGCGUGGAAGAUGGGCCCGUUUUGUUGCCAUGUGGCUCCCAGAGGAGAAAGGGAUGGAUUCCCGUCAUUCUGCAGAAAGGGUCCAUCCGUAUUGCUGCAGAUCCACCCACUGCUCUCGCAGCUUCAUCACUCUCCUCGCUGCGGGCUCCACGGUGGCUACAUUCUACCGCACAGUACUCACACUCAUCAGUCAAGGCCUUUCCACCCUCUGCAAGAUUCGGCCUUUGCUGCUUUCAGGUCUCUGUUCAAAUAUCACCUUGUCAGUGAAGCCUUCCCAACUCCUUUACUUAAAACAACACCCUCCCCUACUACUCUGUCACUCUCUGAGCCUCUCAUCCUGAUGUAUUUUUCCCCAGUGCACUUAUACUAACAUACUGUAUAUUUCCUUAUUUAUCCAUGUAUUAUCGCACUUGUCCACUAGAAUGUAAAACUCCAGGAGGGCAAGGAAGUAAUCUACUUGAUUUAAAAUUUUAUCUCCAGGACCUACAACAUUUAAUUUAAGAUUAAAUUAGAACAUUAAAUUUAAAAUUUUAUCUCCAAGACCUGUUAUUUUAUACAUAACGAGUCCAUAUACACAUAUAUACAUAUGGGUGUCUAUGUAUAUAUAUCUACAUAUAUCUAUAAUAUACAUAGGGUUGGACAGAAAGUUCAUUUGGGAUUUUCCAUAUUAUCUUACAGAAAAACGUGAAUGAGCCUUUUGGCUAACUCAAUAUGUGUGUGUGUGUGUGUACAUGUGUAUAUUUCGGUGAAUGAGUGGGUGAAUUCAUGACUGAUCAAAAUAACCUGUGGAUUUUCUCUAUGUCCCAUAAGUUUUUCUCUUAAUAAAUGGUUCACGUGCAUGGAUGCA